GGGCUGUUGCGGCAGCCGGCGGGGUAGCGAGGUGGAGCGGUGUGGGAAGACCCAAGCCGGUACCUCUGGGACUGAACGGCGGCGGGUGGACUGCGGGCAGCCUCCGCAGGCCUGGGCAGGCCUCCUGAGAGUCUAGGGCGUAAGAGUUUUGGGGGCUUCGGAAAGCGGGCUGCGGACCCCUGCCUGAGGCUUUGGUUUGAGCCCUGGAUCCGGCCUUGUGUUUCCCCGGAAGGAUGGCGUCUCAGUCUUUCCUGAAGUUGGGCGCCAUGCAGAAUGCCAUGAGUUUGAAGCUGGAGGACGGAGGGCUUAGAGAUGCUUGAGGGACGUCCUUAACCUACGUGAAAUGUUGGAGGUUGAGGUGAAAAAUAUGGCUUUGAUAUCUUCAUGGAAAACUGCAUUAUUUCAAUCCUGAAUCUGGUUCGGUUCCCUUAUUGACUUAUUACUAUAUUAAAAAUGUUUAUUUAGCAGUGAUUGUAAAAUGAAAGUAAUUAACAUGUACAUGUUUUUUGGGGGGAGACUAAGGGGAAACAGGUGUUCAGCCUAGAAAAACAUUUCUCAUUGGAUUUCCUGUGAAGUCAGUGUGUCUUGGGUUUAACUUUGAAACAAAUUAAAAAAUUUUAAAAUUAAAAAAAAAGUUUACUUAA